CCUGAAUAUUGUGUCUUUGUAAGUGUUCAUCCAGAUGCCAUGUAAACAUAUGUACAGGCUCUAUUAAAACUACUUCCUUAGGCACAGGAUUCCACAUCCUUAUUGUACAUUAAAUCUAAACUGCAAAUUUAAGUGCCAUGUCCCCUAAUCUAUUGUUUCUCAACCUUUUACGGAAAAGUACCCCUGCAGGUCUAAAUAAAAAUCCUAAUUACCCAUGCCUCGAAAAAGUUAUUUCUAUUGGUUUAAAUUCCAUAUGAAAUAUGCACACAGAAUUACACACAGAAGACACUGACACACACACAUAUACAAAGAGAACAGACAUACACAAACACACAUUUACAUACACAGGAAACUGACACAUACACACAGGGUUCUGCCACCUCUAACAUGGCCGAACUUCCUAUCCUGACCUCAAAUACACAGUAUACUAAGACGUGUAAAACAGUCCCGAUUCUUGUAAUUUCGGCAGUAAGAAAAAUGGCGAAAUACUUCCGGUGAAGUAUUUCCAGUCGGCGUUUCUCUGUAUCUUGUUUUCUCAUGCCUUCCUGGUAGAAAAGUUCUUAAAGAGUCCAUGUCUUGGGUGUAAUUAUCGCAAAAUAUAUAACUCCAUUCAUAGCAUACAUGGAAACAAACAGAAUAAAAAAAUUGUGUUAAAUCUGACCUGGACAUAUGAGAUAAGACUAUAUAACCUAUGUAAUAAAUGUAUAUCCUCUACAUUAAAAAGAAAGAUAUAUAAUAAAAUAACAUAAUUAAUCAUAUAUAGCCAAAUAUAAUAAUACACUUGGUAAAAUAAUAAAAGAUUGUAAUAACAAUAUAUAGAG